rnacentral:rRNA from 1 species
UUCGUCAAAGUUCAGAUUUGACUUAGUGGCGGACGGGUGAGUAAUGCAUGAGCAACCUGCCUUGUACUGGGGGACAACAGUUGGAAACGACUGCUAAUACCGCAUAAGCGCACAGCUUCGCAUGAAGCAGUGUGAAAAACUCCGGUGGUACAAGAUGGACCCGCGUCUGAUUAGCUGGUUGGCGGGGUAACGGCCCACCAAGGCGACGAUCAGUAGCCGGACUGAGAGGUUGAACGGCCACAUUGGGACUGAGAUACGGCCCAGACUCC